rnacentral:lncRNA from 1 species
CGCGGGUGAGUUCGACGGUGAUUCCGUCGUUCCAGCGACUUGCACCACUUACCACCACCCUUAAUCAACUUCCCUUGGACCCAGGAACAAGACCCAACUGGUGGUUGGAGCGUUGGAACACCAAGGAAGCCGAAUUGAAGAACACCCACCUUAGGGUUUCGACGGGUGCGAGCCAAUUUGAGGGCCUUCCUGGCCAAAUUGGACUUGGCCACAGGUAUAAAGUUUACUCUACUUGUUGAGACCUUCAUUCUUGUAAAAUUUGAGAAUUUUUGGAAAAAGUCGAAUUUUCAAUGUGUG